GCACCACAAGAGGUGGGACCUGCGGUUCAAUUGGAUUCAACGCCGGAAAACUCACCAGGGGCGACAGUUGGAUGAAAGCCAGGUUGACGAUCUUGCCCGACUAGCUGAGAGGUGGUGCAUGGCCAUCGUCAGCUCGUACCGUGAGGCGUCCUGUUAAGUCAGGCAACGAGCGAGAUCCUCGCCCUUAGUUGCCAUCGGUGGAAAGCCGGGCACUCUAGGGGGACCGCUGGCGCUAAGUCAGAGGAAGGAGAGGGCGACGGUAGGUCAGUAUGCCCCGAAUCCCCUGGGCUACACGCGGGUCACAAUGCGCAGGACAAUGAGAUGCAACCCCGUAAGGGGAAGCCAAACCCAUAAACCUGCGCUCGGUUCGGAUCGAGGGCUGUAACUCGCCCUCGUGAAGCUGGAAUCUCUAGUAAUCGCGUGCCAACACCGCGCGGUGAAUGCGUCCCUGCUCCUUGCACACACCGCCCGUCAAGCCACUCGAGUGGGGUUUGGAUGAGGUCAGCUCAAGUUGGGCUGCUCGAAUCCGAGUUCUGCAAGAGGGGCU
rnacentral:rRNA from 1 species